rnacentral:rRNA from 1 species
UACGGAGGGGGCUAGCGUUGUUCGGAAUUACUGGGCGUAAAGCGCACGUAGGCGGCCAACUAAGUCGGAUGUGAAAUCCCCAGGCUUAACCUGGGAACUGCAUCCGAUACUGGAUGGCUUGAAUCCGGGAGAGGGAUGCGGAAUUCCAGGUGUAGCGGUGAAAUGCGUAGAUAUCUGGAGGAACACCGGUGGCGAAGGCGGCAUCCUGGGACAGUGACUGACGCUGAGAACGCGAAAGCGUGGGGGAGCAAACAGG